UCUAUCCUACGGGAGGCAGCAGUCGGGAAUAUUGCGCAAUGGAGGAAACUCUGACGCAGUGACGCCGCGUGCAGGAAGAAGGUUUUCGGAUUGUAAACUGCUUUAGACAGGGAAGAUACAAGACAGUACCUGUAGAAUAGGCUCCGGCUAACUACGUGCCAGCAGCCGCGGUAAUACGUAGGGAGCAAGCGUUAUCCGGAUUUAUUGGGUGUAAAGGGUGCGUAGACGGGAAUGCAAGUUGGUUGUGAAAUCCCUCGGCUUAACUGAGGAACUGCAACCAAAACUACAUUUCUU
rnacentral:rRNA from 1 species